UUGAAAAGCCAUUGUUAAGUUCUCCUAUUGUUCAGUUAUGGUUAACGCUUAAAUUUGAGUGUUUUCUACCCUCUAACAUCCACGAAACAGAUCAGUAUUAUCAUAUCAACUUGAAAAAACAUGCCGCAAAUGUAUUUGACUGUUCUAACCAUUGUUACAGAACACAAACUCCUCAUGGUGACAGCUUAUUAUGUUUGUCUCCUGUGAGGAGUAUUACUACUCACCCUGCCUGUAGUGCAAUAAUGUUGUAACUGUACUGUAUAAUAUAACACAUGAUGUCAAGGAAGAGAUGGCUGAGAGGGACCAAAAUGACCAGUGAUUCAUGAAUCUGGUUCACUAGUUUAGCACCAGAGUUAUCACAACUAGCUACCUAUCAUAUGCACAGCUGUCCUUCUGCAUUUCCAGAAUCUCAUCUACUAUACCCAUUUAUCUUUGUGCCCCAUUACUCAGCAGUAAGAUUAUCUCUGUGCCUCAUUACUCAGUAAGAUUAUCCCUGUGCCCCAUUACUCAGUAAGAUUAUCUCUGUGCCCCAUUACUCAGUAAGAUUAUCUCUGUGCCCCAUUACUCAGUAAGAUUAUCUCUGUGCCCCAUUACUCAGUAAUAUUAUCCCUGUGCCCCAUUACUCAGUAAGAUUAUCCCUCCUGCCAGUGUUGCCAAUAAACUCAGGGUGUAUGGGGACUGUGGAGUGCCCAUGCAUGUCCUUGAAGCCUCUUGAGCCUGUGAACACCACUCUCUCUGCCCCUGUACCGUCUGGUUCCCUUUCAAAGCACCUCUUGUUACUGAGCUGUGCAGUGUCUCAUUGACUGUUCCCCUCCACUACCAAGUGAACUGCUCUAGGCAGCCUUCUGAGAGGUACACUGUUCAUGUUUGCCUUAGCCAGUUCGGCUCUCUCAUCUCAGAGGUUCAAAGGAGGCCGGCUGAGAGCUCGAACAAAAUCCCCAUCUUGCCUGAAUGCGGCCAUGCGUCAUGGUAGGGCUCCACUGACUCCAUAUUUGUCCACUUUGCAGCUUCUGUAAAGCGUAGAUAGUAUUAGUAUACCAUAUUAGUAUUGGUGUUACUUUAUCUUUAUCAGAGCAUAGUGCAUUAAGUAUCCGUCAAUAUGAAACAGGUUGCAAUGUACUGUAAACCAUUACUAGGGAUUUUAUUCAUGUUGAGGCCUCAAAAUAUUGGUUAAAAUAUUCAAUACAGUAAAAUGUACAUAACUCAUAGAAAUGUGUGCAUAUCGAUUUGGAAAUGUAUUGCUCAAAGCCAUGAUGAAUGUACAGUAUAUGUAGAGAUCAGUCUCUGACCAUGGUCUUGAGGAACCAUAACGGUUGGUUUUCAUUGAACAAUUUCACUUGAGGUACUAUCUGAAGCAAGCUCAUCACAGACCUGUUGCUUACCAAACUGGAGCAUGGUGCUGAUAUUGUAGUUACACUAGUUCUGUUCAGCAUUGGUUCUCCUCUGUUCAGAAUGGAAGUCCUUCAGCAAGCGUAAUCUGUAUGCAUGUUGAGAGGCUGAAGUGUUACGUAUGAGUGAAAUAGACUCGAGUGCUGAGAAUCUACAUUUUCAGCUAUUUUGUUUAAAGGUAGUUGACUUGGAGAGAUAGUUGACAAUAGACACUAUUGUAAAAAGUACUGUGAUAUGUUUCCUGUUGAAUAUGUCAUUGUGAAACUAAAGUAAAUAACGUUUUAUAUGCAGUCCUUAUUUAAAAACUAGAGAUGUGAG
rnacentral:lncRNA from 1 species